UAUCCUCUUGACUGAGUGUAUUGGGAGAGUGGCACGUUUACUUUGAACAAAUUAGAGUGCUCAAAGCAGGCACGAGCCUGAAUCUUCGUGCAUGGAAUGAUGGAAUAGGGCCUCGGUUCUAUUUUGUUGGUUUCCGGAACUCGAGGUAAUGAUUAAGAGGGACAGACGGGGGCAUUCGUAUUGCGACGUUAGAGGUGAAAUUCUUAGAUCGUCGCAAGACGAACUACUGCGAAAGCAUUUGCCAAGAAUGUUUUCAUUAAUCAAGAACGAAAGUCAGAGGUUCGAAGACGAUCAGAUACCGCCCUAGUUCUGACCAUUAACGAUGCAAACUGGCGGUCCGUCGGCGUUAAGCAACAAUGACCUGGCGGGCAGCUUCCGGGAAACCAAAGUGUUCGUGUUCCGGGGGAAGUAUGGUUGCAAAACUGGAACUUAAAGGAAUUGACGGAAGGGCACCACCAGGAGUGGAGCCUGUGGCUUAAUUUGACUCAACACGGGAAAUCUCACCAGGCCCGGACACCGGCAGGAUUGACAGAUUGACAGCUCUUUCUUGAUUCGGUGGGUGGUGGUGCAUGGCCGUUCUUAGUUGGUGGAGUGAUUUGUCUGGUUAAUUCCGAUAACGAACGAGACCCCGUCCUACUUACUAGACUGAGGAUUAUUCUGGUCCUCACAGUCUUCUUAGAGGGACAACUGGCGUUAAUCUAGCUACAUGAAAUGGGGCAAUAACAGGUCUGUGAUGCCCUUAGAUGUUCUGGGCUGCACACGCGCUACACUGAAGGGAUCACCGUGUAUGUCCUAGCCUGAAAAGGCCGGGAAACCCGUUGAAUUCUCUUCGUGCUAGGGAUUGAGGCUUGCAAUUGUUUCUCAUGAACGAGGAAUUCCCAGUAAGUGUGAGUCAUAAGCUCGCGCUGAUUACGUCCCUGCCCUUUGGACACACCGCCCGUCGCUACUACCGAUUGAAUGGCU
rnacentral:rRNA from 1 species